CCUACGGGGGGCAGCAGUGAGGAAUAUUGGUCAAUGGCCGGAAGUCUGAACCAGCCAAGCCGCGUGAAGGACGAAUGUGCCAAGCAUUGUAAACUUCUUUUGUCAAGGGACAAAAUCAGGCUCGAGAGCCUUACUGAGUGUACUUGAUGAAAAAGCAUCGGCUAACUCCGUGCCAGCAGCCGCGGUAAUACGGAGGAUGCGAGCGUUAUCCGGAUUUAUUGGGUGUAAAGGGAGCGUAGACGGGAUGGCAAGUCUGAAGUGAAAGCCCAGGGCUCAACCCUGGGACUGCGAUGGAUACUGGUAGACUAGAGUGCAGUAGAGGUAGGCGGAAUUCGUGGUGUAGCGGUGAAAUGCGUAGAUAUCAGGAAGAACACCAGUGGCGAAGGCAGCUUACUGGACAGUAACUGACGUUGAGGCUCGAAAGCGUGGGGAGCAAACAGGAUUAGAUACCCCAGUAGUC
rnacentral:rRNA from 1 species